AGAGUUUGAUCCUGGCUCAGGACGAACGCUGGCGGCGUGCCUAAUACAUGCAAGUCGAACGCACUCUCGUUUAGAUUGAAGGAGCUUGCUCCUGAUUGAUAAACAUUUGAGUGAGUGGCGGACGGGUGAGUAACACGUGGGUAACCUGCCCUAAAGUGGGGGAUAACAUUUGGAAACAGAUGCUAAUACCGCAUAAAACCUAACACCGCAUGGUGUAGGGUUGAAAGAUGGUUUCGGCUAUCACUUUAGGAUGGACCCGCGGUGCAUUAGUUAGUUGGUGAGGUAAAGGCUCACCAAGACCGUGAUGCAUAGCCGACCUGAGAGGGUAAUCGGCCACACUGGGACUGAGACACGGCCCAGACUCCUACGGGAGGCAGCAGUAGGGAAUCUUCCACAAUGGACGAAAGUCUGAUGGAGCAACGCCGCGUGAGUGAAGAAGGUUUUCGGAUCGUAAAACUCUGUUGUUGGAGAAGAAUGUAUCUGAUAGUAACUGAUCAGGUAGUGACGGUAUCCAACCAGAAAGCCACGGCUAACUACGUGCCAGCAGCCGCGGUAAUACGUAGGUGGCAAGCGUUGUCCGGAUUUAUUGGGCGUAAAGCGAGCGCAGGCGGUUUCUUAAGUCUGAUGUGAAAGCCUUCGGCUCAACCGAAGAAGUGCAUCGGAAACUGGGAAACUUGAGUGCAGAAGAGGACAGUGGAACUCCAUGUGUAGCGGUGAAAUGCGUAGAUAUAUGGAAGAACACCAGUGGCGAAGGCGGCUGUCUGGUCUGUAACUGACGCUGAGGCUCGAAAGCAUGGGUAGCAAACAGGAUUAGAUACCCUGGUAGUCCAUGCCGUAAACGAUGAGUGCUAGGUGUUGGAGGGUUUCCGCCCUUCAGUGCCGCAGCUAACGCAUUAAGCACUCCGCCUGGGGAGUACGACCGCAAGGUUGAAACUCAAAGGAAUUGACGGGGGCCCGCACAAGCGGUGGAGCAUGUGGUUUAAUUCGAAGCAACGCGAAGAACCUUACCAGGUCUUGACAUCCUUUGACCACUCUAGAGAUAGAGCUUCCCCUUCGGGGGCAAAGUGACAGGUGGUGCAUGGUUGUCGUCAGCUCGUGUCGUGAGAUGUUGGGUUAAGUCCCGCAACGAGCGCAACCCUUAUUACUAGUUGCCAGCAUUUAGUUGGGCACUCUAGUGAGACUGCCGGUGACAAACCGGAGGAAGGUGGGGAUGACGUCAAAUCAUCAUGCCCCUUAUGACCUGGGCUACACACGUGCUACAAUGGAUGGUACAACGAGUCGCGAGACAGUGAUGUUUAGCUAAUCUCUUAAAACCAUUCUCAGUUCGGAUUGUAGGCUGCAACUCGCCUACAUGAAG
rnacentral:rRNA from 1 species